UGGCGGACGGGUGAGUAACGCGUGGGUAACCUGCCUCAUACAGGGGGAUAACGGUUAGAAAUGACUGCUAAUACCGCAUAAGCGCACAGUACCGCAUGGUACGGUGUGAAAAACUCCGGUGGUAUGAGAUGGACCCGCGUCUGAUUAGCUAGUUGGUGAGGUAACGGCCCACCAAGGCGACGAUCAGUAGCCGACCUGAGAGGGUGACCGGCCACAUUGGGACUGAGACACGGCCCAA
rnacentral:rRNA from 1 species